rnacentral:rRNA from 1 species
GGGCCCGCACAAGCAGUGGAUUAUGUGGUUUAAUUCGAAGCAACGCGAAGAACCUUACCAGGGUUUGACAUCCAACUAACGAAGCAGAGAUGCAUUAGGUGCCCUUCGGGGAAAGUUGAGACAGGUGGUGCAUGGUUGUCGUCAGCUCGUGUCGUGAGAUGUUGGGUUAAGUCCCGCAACGAGCGCAACCCUUAUUGUUAGUUGCUACGCAAGAGCACUCUAACGAGACUGCCGUUGACAAAACGGAGGAAGGUGGGGACGACGUCAAAUCAUCAUGCCCCUUAUAUCCUGGGCUACACACGUAAUACAAUGGCGCAAAACAGAGGGAAGCUAAGCCGCGAGGUGGAGCAAAUCCCUAAAAGGCGUCUCAGUUCGGAUUGCAGGCUGCAACUCGCCUGCAUGAAGUCGGAAUUGCUAGUAAUCGCGGAUCAGCAUGCCGCGGUGAAUACGUUCCCGGGCCUUGUACACACCGCCCGUCACACCAUGAGAGCCGGGAACACCCGAAGUCCGUAGUCUAACCGCAAGGGGGACGCGGCCGAAGGUGGGUUUGGUAAUUGGGGUGAAGUCGUAACAAGGUAGCCGUAUCGGAAGGUGCGGCU